rnacentral:rRNA from 1 species
GAUGAACGCUGGCGGCGUGCCUAAUACAUGCGAGUCGAGCGAACAGACGAGGAGCUUGCUCCUCUGACGUUAGCGGCGGACGGGUGAGUAACACGUGGAUAACCUACCUAUAAGACUGGGAUAACUUCGGGAAACCGGAGCUAAUACCGGAUAAUAUAUUGAACCGCAUGGUUCAAUAGUGAAAGACGGUUUUGCUGUCACUUAUAGAUGGAUCCGCGCCGCAUUAGCUAGUUGGUAAGGUAACGGCUUACCAAGGCAACGAUGCGUAGCCGACCUGAGAGGGGGAUCGGCCACGCUGGAACUGAGACACGAUCCAGACACCGACGGGAGGCAGCAGUAGGGAAUCUACCGCAAUGGGCGAAAGCCUGACGGAGCAACGCAGCGUGAGUGAAGAAGGUCUUCGGAUCGUAAAACUCUGUUAUUAGGGAAGAACAAAUGUGUAAGUAACUAUGCACGUCUUGACGGUACCUAAACAGAAAGCCACGGCUAACUACGG